ensembl:snoRNA LOC120103294 small nucleolar RNA SNORA17
GCUGCCCCUUGAGGCACUGCAGGUGUGGCUGCUGUGUCACAUGUGUGUCAGGAGGUUGCAGAGAGGAGAGAGGCUGUGUCUACACUCAAUGUUCUGACCUGUGGACAUCUGAAUCAUUAGUAGCCUAACAUU